rnacentral:lncRNA from 1 species
UUUUUUUUUUUUUUUUUUUUUAAAGAGAAAGGACUGCACUUUGAAACUUUCCGCUGAGAGAGUAAGCACUUCCUGUUCUUCCAGCUUCGGGUUCACCUCCCUUAGGAGGCCACUGUGGGAGCCAGAGGGGGGCCAAGCGCUCCCUUUGUCUCUCUCCAUCCUGAGUGCCAGUGCCACUUGGAUGCUUCUUGUCUUUUCUGUCUUGGCCACCUUCCCCGUUCAGUGUCUCGUGUGUGUGUGUGUGUGUGUGUGUGUGUGUGUGUGUGUGUGUACACACAUAAAUAUACUCAUAAUGGAUACUUCUUGUGUUUGUAUUUGUUGGGUCUGGACCACCUGGUAUUAAUUUCUCCUGGUGCCCCAAUCAGGUGAGCCUCUAAGCACAAAAAAAAAUUCUUGACAUUUUUGAAAAAUUUCAAACCUGCAGAGAAGUUGCAUGAAUAGUGACUGAAAUAUAGUCCGUUCUUGUUACUCGACAGCAGUUGUGUCCUAUGAAUUAGUGGAUGUUGAACCAUUGUUCCUGUGUGGUUAAGUUCCGACGAGCCUCAGGUCACCAUAUUUUGUUAGCUGUUCAGUAGGUGACCUUGUGUUAUGUGUUUGUUUUUGUUUUUUUUAUUUUUAAGUAAUCUCUACACACAGCACUCAGACAAAAAAUCACCAAGAUCAAGUGGUGUGUUUCACCAACUGAGCCAGCCAGGCACCCCUAUGUGUGUUUCUGUUUAAAGACACCUUAUUUAAUUUAAUUGUUGAUUUGUGAACAAUGAACUCACUCAUGGCUCACAGCAUGAUAACUUGUACCUAAAUGAAGCUUUUCCCAAAGGUAUUUCUUUGUAAGACAUAUCAUGGCUGCCUUUUUUUUUAAAGUAAUCUCUACACCCAGUGUGAGGCUCGAACUCACAACCCUGAGAUCAAGAGUGGCACGCUCCACUGCCUUCUUUUUAUUUUUUUUAUUUUUUUAUUUUAUUUUAUUAUUUUUUUUUUUUGCCUUCUUUUUAAAUAGCAAAACCACCAGGGCACCUGGCCAGCUCAGUCAGUGGAGCGUGCCACUCUUGAUCUCAAGAGUGAUGAGUUCAAGCCCCAUGUUUGGGCAUGGAGCCUCCCGUAAAAAAAAAAAAAAAAAUUAAAAUUAAAAAAUAAAAAAUAGCAAAACCAACAGAAAGCACCAAAUGUGAAAAAUGUAGCCUAAAUCGACUGUGAAAAGGACACUUGUUUAAGAAGACUGAGACAGAAUGGUGCUUGUUUGACCUCAGCAAGCAGGAGAUUCACAGAUAACUGAAGCUGUGAAUGAGGAGAAAAAGCGAUAUUUUUCUCUGUGAGGUCCCAUGCAUUGGUUGCCAAUACCAUCCUUCAUGCCUAAGUACUUCCUCCUAAAGCCAAGGACAUUCUCCUAUCUAACCUCAAUUCAAGUGAUUGGAUUCAGGGAAUUUGACAUUGAUACAGUACUAUUUAAUAGGACAUUUGUGUUCAGUUCUCCACAAGUCCUGAGCAUGUCCUUUCUGGCCAUGAUUUUUCCCUUCAGGGUCAUGUAUUGCAUUCAGUUGUCACGUCUCUUUAGUUGCUUUGAAUAUGGAGCAGCCUUUUUUGUCCUUUGUAACAUGGACAUUUCUGGAGUCCAGGCCUAUGGUUUUUGUAGAAUGCCACCUCAGUCUCAUUUCCCCGAUAAUUUCCCGUUAUUAUUAUAAUCAAGAUGUGUAUCUUGGCAGGAAUAUUUGUCUCUUUUGCAGAUGGCAAAAAUUGACACCCAAAGAGGUUAAGUAAUUGGCUAGACUUCAAGCCUAGAAAGUCUGGCUCAGACCCUAGGCUGUCACAAAAAUCUUACAUACUGAUUCUGUCUUUGCUUAAGAAAUUGGGAGAUCCAGCAGCAGCAGCACUGGUCCCACCCCCACCACCACCCCCCCCCCCUUUUUUUUUUUUUGAGAUUUUAUGUAUUUAUUCAUGAGAGACAGAAAGAGAAAGAGAGAGAGGCAGAGACAUCCCAGGAUCACAGACCUGAGCCAAAGGCAGACGCAUCCCUGGUCCCACCUCACAGAGUAACAGUGAGAAGGAACAGGGUUGCAGCGCCCUCUUUCCCAGAUAUGAUUGCCACAGUCCCCACCAUUCCCUUGUCUCACACCAGGCCAGCUUUGUUUAUGUUAUUUGCCUGGCCCCCCAUGGUCCCAGAAACCCAAUACAGAACAUGGUUUUAUAAAAACAAAGUCCUUUGAUCCAAGUGGAGGUUGGUUGGGCAGGGGGGGAGUGUGGCCUUAAGUUCUUGUUUUGUGCAAACUCAAAUGUGCUAAUAGCUUAGUGGGCUAAGUGGGGCAGAGGAUCCUCUUUUUUCCUAUUGUAGCUUUUUGCUUCUGUCAUGCAUCAUAUGCAGCAGGACCCACCCACCCCCCCACCCCCCAGUCCCAGGACAGCCUCCCUGACUGGGACUGAGUAGUGGGGAGCAGGAGCCCCUGUGUGGAACUCUCCACUCUCCCCAGAGAAGACCUAGCCAUCUUCCAUGUGUUCCCCACCCCCACCCCUCCCUGCUUCUCCAGAGACCUGGGAGCUGGCUGCAAUGAUUUCUGGCCUGCGACUCUAGUCUUAAGUGUUCCUUCCUAAAUUUGCCUGAAGUCAACAAUCAUCAGAUUAGCUUGCAAAAUUUAGAUAUCUAAAUCUUUCCCCUGGAAAGUUGGUCCAGGUAGAUCUAGAAUCUUUAUUUGGGAUGGGGUGAAGGGGCAGAGGGAGAGGCAGAGAGAGAAUCUUAAGUAGACUCCACGCCCAGCACAGAGCCUGAAGUGGGGCUUGAUCUCACGAUCCUGAGACCAUGACGAGCCAAAAUCAAGAGUCGGAAUGCUUAACUGAGCCACCCAGGCACUCCAAGAAGAAUAUGUUUUUAACGAACACCUCUGGGUGCUCAAACCCAGGCAGCUCAGGGAAAAAAGCUGGUAGUUAAUGGACAGUCUUUCUUUAAUUUCAGUUUUAUUUAUAUUUCAGACAAUACAUUCACAGGUUCCAAAUACAACAAUGAAAAGUCACCCUCCCUCCCCUGUUCCCAGGUUCCCAGUUUGCUCCAGAGGUAUUCGUUGUUGCCAGAGUAUUGUGUUGCCAUCUAGAGAGAUUUCAUACAUAAACAAGAACACCUCCUACUUUUUCUGGGGGAGGAGGGGAAGGUAACCUGUACGCUCUGCCACUGUGUGCCUGAAGAGCAGUUAGAUCUAGUUUAAGUCCAGUUACUCUCUAGCUCUGUGACUUGUGAGCCUCCCUGAAACCUGUUUCCUCCUCUAAAAUAGCGCCAAUAAUAGAGGACACCCUCAGCAGUUGUUGAGGGGACAUGGGAGAGAACAUAUGAAGCUGUCAGCACAGGACCUGGCCCCAAGUGAACGUCCUGUGUCCCACGUGGGCCAGACUCAGCUUUCUGAUGUGAGAGGUACAGACAGAACCAUGCCUUGGGGUCAGGCCACGUCACUUAUGAUUUAGAGAGCAGAAAGGAAGUAGUGUUUAUUGAGCUUUUACUGUGUGCCAGGCACUUGCUGAGGGCUUAGUGAACAUCAUGGUUUUACAGGGUUAUGCUUCGGACAUUGGGCUGAAAAAUUCUAUUGGAGAGUGUCCACAUUAUAGUGUGUUCAGUGAGAUCGUCAACUGCUACCCACUAGUUGUUGGUAAUAUUUUCCCCUGCCAGUUGUGACAACCAGAGACGUCUUCAGAUGUCGCCAAAUGUCCCCGGGGAGGGAGAGGAGGUCAAAUCACUCUUGGAUUAGAAACACGCCUUAUUUCAUCUUCAUGUUAACCACAGUAACCUGAGUGGCAAGGAAGGUUAUUGUCCUGUAUUUGAGAGGAGGAAGCCUGGGGAACAGAGGGGUUAGGUGCCCUAUCUGAGAACACAGCUUCUACAUCACUGCUGGGAUUCACACCCAGGCAGUCUGCUGAGCUCCUGUUCCUACCCAUUAUGUAAGAGUGCCUUUUAUCUUGUGGAAUGUUGUCUAGAAUUAUGCAAAGCUCUUCCCAGACCUCUGCUUCACAAUUAACCUCAAUACAUGUUACUUGUUAUCAUUACAUCUGUUAGCAAAUUCUCCAAAAAAAAAAAAAAAACAAAAA